CCGCGCAGCCGGGGAGAUAGCGGUGCCCUGUAUCUGCAAUCCGCUCCAGCAGAGGUGAUAUCCCGCCUCGGAUGCGAACUUGCAGGGCUGCCCCUGGUAAGCGGCGUUGACGUUUGGGUCUUGCGCAACAGAACCUCAUGAACCGUGUCAGGGCAGGAAUGCAGCAGCACUAAGUGAGUCAUUCUGUGUGCCGCAAGGAAGCCUGGACCGAGCUGGCUGCCAGGGUAACGCCUGUGAGCCGUAUACAAAGCGGGGUGCGCGG
rnacentral:SRP_RNA from 1 species